GACGAACCGUGCAAACGUUGUUCGGAAUCACUGGGCAUAAAGGGCGCGUAGGCGGGCCACCAAGUCUGUGGUGAAAUUCUCUGGCUUAACCAGAGUAGUGCCGCGGAUACUGGGGGCCUCGAGGGGGGUAGGGGCGUGCGGAACUUCCGGUGGAGCGGUGAAAUGCGUAGAUAUCGGAAGGAACACCGGUGGCGAAAGCGGCGCGCUGGACCCCUUCUGACGCUGAGGCGCGAAAGCCAGGGGAGCAA
rnacentral:rRNA from 1 species